GGCGCUAUAGCCAAGUGGUUACGGCGACAGAUUCGAAUGUUCUCUAUCUGUUCCUCUUUGAGGGCGCAGGUUCAAAUCCUGCUGGCGUCG